UAUGUACUGCAGGGGAGCUCGCUGAAGCGGGCUGAGAGGAUCGAUAAGAUCGACCCGUCGAACCUGACCCAGAUAAUACUGGCGGAGGGAUAAGAUGAAUAAUGAAG
rnacentral:ncRNA from 2 species